rnacentral:rRNA from 1 species
UACGGGGGGGGCAAGCGUUGUUCGGAAUUACUGGGCGUAAAGGGUUCGUAGGUGGCCAACUAAGUCAGACGUGAAAUCCCUCAGCUUAACUGGGGAACUGCGUCUGAUACUGGUUGGCUUGAGUGCAGGAGAGGAACGCGGAAUUCCAGGUGUAGCGGUGAAAUGCGCAGAUAUCAGGAGGAACACCAAUGGCGAAGGCAGCUCGCUGGGACGGUACUGACGCUGAGACGCGAAAGCGUGGGGAGCAAACAGG